rnacentral:rRNA from 1 species
CCCAGACUCCUACGGGAGGCAGCAGUGGGGAAUAUUGCACAAUGGGGGAAACCCUGAUGCAGCAACGCCGCGUGAGUGAAGAAGUAUUUCGGUAUGUAAAGCUCUCUCAGCAGGGAAGAAGAUGACGGUACCUGAUUAAGAAGCCCCGGCUAACUACGUGCCAGCAGCCGCGGUAAUACGUAGGGGGCAAGCGUUAUCCGGAUUUACUGGGUGUAAAGGGAGCGCAGACGGCAGUGCAAGUCUGGAGUGAAAGCCCGGGGCCCAACCCCGGGACUGCUCUUGGAACUGCGUGGCUGGAGUGCAGGAGGGGCAGGCGGAAUUCCUGGUGUAGCGGCGAAAUGCGUAGAUAUCAGGAGGAACACCGGUGGCGAAGGCGGCCUGCUGGACUGCAACUGACGUUGAGGCCCGAAAGCGUGGGGAGCAAACAGGAUUAGAUACCCCGGUACAU